rnacentral:rRNA from 1 species
UACAGAGGGUGCAAGCGUUAAUCGGAAUUACUGGGCGUAAAGCGUGCGUAGACGGUUGCGUAAGUCAGAUGUGAAAGCCCCGGGCUCAACCUGGGAAUUGCAUUUGAGACUGCGUAGCUAGGGUGCGGAAGAGGGAAGCGGAAUUUCCGGUGUAGCGGUGAAAUGCGUAGAUAUCGGAAGGAACACCAGUGGCGAAAAGCGGCUUCCUGGUCCAGCACCGACGUUCAGGCACGAAAGCGUGGGGAGCAAACAGG